rnacentral:rRNA from 1 species
UACUAUAGCUUGACACUGAACAUUGAGCCUUGAUGUGUAGGAUAGGUGGGAGGCUUAGAAGUGUGGACGCCAGUCUGCAUGGAGCCGACCUUGAAAUACCACCCUUUAAUGUUUGAUGUUCUAACGUGGACCCGUGAUCCGGGUUGCGGACAGUGUCUGGUGGGUAGUUUGACUGGGGCGGUCUCCUCCUAAAGAGUAACGGAGGAGCACGAAGGUUGGCUAAUCCUGGUCGGACAUCAGGAGGUUAGUGCAAUG